GUUGGGUUAGCAAAACCUGGUCAUGCGGGGGUCUUAAAACCCCCCAACAGAUGUUCAAAUCAUCUCCCCAACA
rnacentral:tRNA from 1 species